rnacentral:rRNA from 1 species
CCUACGGGAGGCAGCAGUAGGGAAUUUUCGUCAAUGGGCGCAAGCCUGAACGAGCAAUGCCGCGUGAACGAGGAAGGUCUUCGGAUCGUAAAGUUCUGUUGAAGGGGAAAAAGAUCGGAGAGAGGAAAUGGUCUCCGAUUGAUAUUACCCUUCGAGGAAGUCACGGCUAACUACGUGCCAGCAGCCGCGGUAAUACGUAGGUGGCGAGCGUUAUCCGGAAUGAUUGGGCGUAAAGGGUGCGUAGGCGGCCUGCUAAGUCUGGAGUGAAAGGUACCGGCUCAACCGGUACAGGCUCUGGAAACUGGCGGGCUAGAGAGAAGGAGAGGGCGGUGGAAUUCCAUGUGUAGCGGUAAAAUGCGUAGAUAUAUGGAAGAACACCAGUGGCGAAGGCGGCCGCCUGGCCUGUUACUGACGCUGAGGCACGAAAGCGUGGGGAGCAAAUAGGAUUAGAUACCCCUGUAGUC